rnacentral:pre_miRNA from 1 species
GGGGGGAGGCCGGAUCCUGGGCUGUGUCCCGGCGCCCUGUGCUCCGGGGCCUGCGCGGUUGGAUUCGGCGCUUUCCGCCCCGCAGCCCCCU